rnacentral:rRNA from 1 species
AUUGAACGCUGGCGGCAGGCCUAACACAUGCAAGUCGAACGAGUGGCGGACGGGUGAGUAAUAUCUGGGAAACUGCCUGAUGGAGGGGGAUAACUACUGGAAACGGUAGCUAAUACCGCAUACUAUCAGAUCGGCCCAGAUGGGAUUAGCUUGUGGGGGGGGUAACGGCUCACCAAGGCGACGAUCCCUAGCUGGUCUGAGAGGAUGACCAGCCACACUGGGACGGAGACACGGUCCAGACUCCUACGGGAGGGAGCAGUGGGGAAGAUUGCACAAUGGGCGCAAGCCGGAUGCAGCCAUGCCGCGUGUAUGAAGAAGGCCUUCGGGUUGUAAAGUACUUUCAGCGGGGAGGCGUUACCCGCAGAAGAAGCACCGGCUAACUCCGUGCCAGCAGCCGCGGUAAUUC